rnacentral:misc_RNA from 1 species
GAAAUACGAUAAGUAGUAUAAAUUGCAGAAUUUAGUAAAUUAUCGAAUCUUUGAACGCAUAUUGCGCCUCUUAGUAUUCUAUAGAGCAUGCCUAUUUGAGCGUUAUUUAUACUCUUAAGCUUUACUUAGUAUUGAGUAUUUAUCCUCUCCUCUACGUUUAGACUCGCCUUAAAGUAAUUAGUAGCUAGUAUUUUAGUAUUAAAGCGCAGCAUAUUUUGCGAUUCUAGCCGGUAAUACUUGCGUCUAUAAGCCUUUUUAACUUUUAACCUCAGAUUAGGUAGAGAUACUCGCUGAACUUAA